GUGUCACCUGGUAGAAGGUGCCACCACAUCUCUCCUAUCCAGAAGGAGUUGGAGCCACGUGGGCUCCAGACAUAAAUGGUACUACUGAGGCUGCAGCUCCCCUUCUCCUCCCCUGCUGCUGCCUUGCAAUUUCUGGCCAGAGACUCUCGCUGUGCAAAUGUGCCAAAACUCCUCGAUAAGGGAGCAAGAGCUAUGCAGCCUGCAUGAGUCAGCCUCCCCAACACACAGAGGUGGAACUGGGAGGAAAGGGUCCGAGUCAGACUGACCCAGGACUAGCACAGAACUCCAGGAAUUACAGCAGAUAUCCACCAUUUGACUUCCUGUAAGUCUCAUAAGGUUGCCACUCAAAAGACGUCACUUGCUCUCCAGUGAAAGAGCUGUACACACCACCUGAGCAAGGCCAGCGAGACCAACUCUCCCAAGAAGAUGAACUGUGCUGCAAUCCCUCACCUGGACUCCUUGGCUCCUGUGAAGUACCACCACCCUCGCUUCUGUAUCUCACAGUGUCAAAGAGCUCUUACCACAGCGUAUCACCAAGCCUUUACCUGGGAAUUGUGUGUAUCCAUCUCCAGCCAGUGGCAGGGCUGGGAAUACCAUUUGGCAAUGUGUUGCUGUGAAGGAAACAAAGUGAUCAAAUAAAGAAUGACUGAGGGGAGGGGUGGAAAGUGACCUGUGUUAGAAAUCACAACAGAAAACGCCUCUAGGAUGAGGUGGCAUUAAAGCUGAAACAAGAGGAUGAGAAGAAGCAAACCAGAAAAAGAGGAAGAAUAACAACAAUGCAAGAAGCAACUCCCUACCCAAAAGCCCACAGUGGGAAACCUUAUAGCAUACCUGGCUGAACGGUUGAAUACCAGUGUGGAGGAGGUAGACAUAACAUACAGCUGGGCAGAUCUUGAUAGGGACCAGAAUCCACAAGCCUAAGAGAUUUGAUUUUAUUUUAGAUGCAAGUGAAAGCUCUUAAAUGGUUUUGAAAAGAUAGCUGAAAUGAUCAGAUUCAUGUGGGAUACCAGGCUGUUUGAGUAGAACAAGGGAGAAAGAACAGUGGCGUACACUAAGAUGGCAAUGAGUAUGGAGAAAUAUAUAUAAAAUAUAUAUGUGUAUGUACAUACGUCUAUAUACACGCACACUUUGAGACAGAUUCCAGAAAACGUAAUGAUACAGUCUGGGCAGAAAGUGAGGAAAAGUAGGGAAUCAAGGAUCAUUCCUAGGUUUUGUUUUAAGUUAGCAUGUGAACAGUUAGAAUGGAACAGUUUGGAAGGUGGAAUAAUUGAAGUUUUCAUUUAGACAUCUUAAUUGUGGAGACGUCAACCAGUGUUUCUCAAACUUCCCCAAUGAACAGAAUCAUCUGGGGAGCUUAUUACAUAUAUGGAUUAUCAGGUUUUCUGCUGGAAAUUCUGGAUCGGUAGGUCCGAGUUGAGCACAAAGUACUGGAUUUUCUUCACUCUCGGUGGGUAAUAUGCAGCUACCAAAAGAAAGAGAAUGAGGAAGAUCUCUAUCAACUGAUAUAGAGCAAUUUCCAAGAUAUGUUAAAGGCAAAAUUCAAAAGAGUAUCUGUGGUAUGCUAUUUUUCAUGUAGGAAGAAGGGACUAUAAGAAAAUACACACGUAUCUGUGCAAAAAAGAAAUGCAGGAAGGAUAAACCAGAAACCAGUGCAACUGAUUAUCUACAGGAAGCAGAUGGGAACUGGGAGGAAAGGAAGGAAGGACGGGAAUGGCGUAGAAGGGACGAGAAAGAGAUGAUACCUAAGUAUACCUUUCUGUAUACUUUUGAUUAAAACUGAACAGUUUUCACAUACCCAAGUAAAUAAUUAAAAUCAAGAAGCAUUUGGAAGGAUCCCCAAAUGGAACACAAACAGUAACAGGUGAACCUAACUUUACUACAAACACAUUAACAAAAUCACACUGGAGGAAGUGGGGAAGAACUAACCUCAGUAACUUUAGAAAAUAGUAUUUUAAUAUAGUGCAAAUAACCAUACACUUAAUAUAUACUACUAAUAAUAUUUAAUAAUAUUAAUAAUACAUUUAUAACUAAUCAUAAUAAUAAGGCUAAAGACAGAAAGAAUUGUACACAGAUAUUGAACUUGUUAGUAAAUUUAUUUUUCACAGGGGCAGAAGUUAACGAUUUUUAAAUAUUUUAUGUGUAUUCUAGAACUGAGCAAAUACAUAAAUGGAUUGUAGAUAAUGAGAAUCAGGUUUCUAAUUGUUAAAGAAAGGAGUUACAAGUAAGUAUAAGGUAAAGGAGGCUAGAAUAAACCCUAUGGUGUUGGAUUGGAAUCAAGGUAUCAGUUUGAACUCAUUCUCAAUUUGAACUCGUGUGUGUGUGUGUGUGUGUGUGUGUGCGUGUGCGCGCGCGCGCUCAUGCGAACACACCCGGAUGGAUACAUAUAAAAAUAGAAGGAGAUAUUUGUACGUGUG
rnacentral:lncRNA from 1 species